rnacentral:rRNA from 1 species
UACGGGGGGGGCAAGCGUUGUUCGGAAUUACUGGGCGUAAAGGGCUCGUAGGCGGCCAACUAAGUCAGACGUGAAAUCCCUCGGCUUAACCGGGGAACUGCGUCUGAUACUGGAUGGCUUGAGUGUGGGAGAGGAAUGCGGAAUUCCAGGUGUAGAGGUGAAAUUCGUAGAUAUCGGGAGGAACACCGGUGGCGAAGGCGGCGUUCUGGACCAUUACUGACACUGAAUCGCGAAAGCUAGGGGAGCAAACGGG